rnacentral:rRNA from 1 species
UACGAAGGGGGCUAGCGUUGUUCGGAAUUACUGGGCGUAAAGCGCGCGCAGGCGGCCUUUCAAGUCAGGGGUGAAAGCCCGGAGCUCAACUCCGGAAUUGCCUUUGAAACUGUCAGGCUCGAGUACGGGAGGGUGAGUGGAAUUCCCAGUGUAGAGGUGAAAUUCGUAGAUAUUGGGAAGAACACCGGUGGCGAAGGCGGCUCACUGGCCCGUUUCUGACGCUCAGGCGCGACAGCGUGGGGAUCAAACAGG